GUCUAUGGCCAUGCUACCCUGAACAAGCCCAAUCCCAUCUGAUCUCGGAAGCUAAGCAGAGUCGGGCUAAGCAGGGAUGGAAGACCACCUAGGAAGAGCAGGUGCUAUAGGCA
rnacentral:rRNA from 1 species